GACGAACGCUGGCGGCGUGCUUAACACAUGCAAGUCGAACGAAAAGAGGGAAAGAGCUUGCUCUUUCCGGAAUUGAGUGGCAAACGGGUGAGUAACACGUAAACAACCUGCCUUCAGGAUGGGGACAACAGACGGAAACGACUGCUAAUACCGAAUAAGUUCCAAGGGCCGCAUGGCCCAUGGAAGAAAAGGUGGCCUCUACCUGUAAGCUAUCGCCUGAAGAGGGGUUUGCGUCUGAUUAGCUGGUUGGAGGGGUAACGGCCCACCAAGGCGACGAUCAGUAGCCGGUCUGAGAGGAUGAACGGCCACGCUGGAAUUGAGACACGGUCCAGACUCCUACGGGAGGCAGCAGUGGGGAAUCUUCCGCAAUGGGCGAAAGCCUGACGGAGCAACGCCGCGUGAGUGAUGACGGCCUUCGGGUUGUAAAACUCUGUGAUCCGGGACGAAAAGGCAGAGUGCGAAGAACAAACUGCAUUGACGGUACCGGAAAAGCAAGCCACGGCUAACUACGUG
rnacentral:rRNA from 1 species